UCCGGUUGAUCCUGCCGGAGGCCAUUGCUAUUGGGAUCCGAUUUAGCCAUGCUAGUCGCACGAGUUCAGACUCGUGGCGAAUAGCUCAGUAACACGUGGCCAAACUACCCUUCGGAACACAAUNUGCCAAACGCUCCGGCGCCGAAGGAUGUGGCUGCGGCCGAUUAGGUAGACGGUGGGGUAACGGCCCACCGUGCCAAUAAUCGGUAUGGGUCAUGAGAGUGAGAACCCAGAGACGGAAUCUGAGACAAGAUUCCGGGCCCUACGGGGCGCAGCAGGCGCGAAACCUUUACACUGCACGACAGUGCGAUAGGGGGAUCCCAAGUGCACAGGAAUAGCGCCUGUGCUUUUCGGUACCGUAAGGUGGUACCAGAAUAAGGGCUGGGCAAGACCGGUGCCAGCCGCCGCGGUAAUACCGGCAGCCCAAGUGAUGGCCGAUCUUAUUGGGCCUAAAGCGUCCGUAGCUGGCCGCGCAAGUCCAUCGGGAAAUCCACCUGCUCAACAGGUGGGCGCCCGGUAGAAACUGCGUGGCUUGGGACCGGAAGGCGCGACGGGUACGUCCGGGGUAGGAGUGAAAUCCCGUAAUCCUGGACGGACCGCCGAUGGCGAAAGCACGUCGCGAGGACGGAUCCGACAGUGAGGGACGAAAGCCAGGGUCUCGAACCGGAUUAGAUACCCGGGUAGUCCUGGCCGUAAACAAUGUCUGCUAGGUGUGGCUCCCACUACGAGUGGGUGCUGUGCCGUAGGGAAGCCGCUAAGCAGACCGCCUGGGAAGUACGUCCGCAAGGAUGAAACUUAAAGGAAUUGGCGGGGGAGCACUACAACCGGAGGAGCCUGCGGUUUAAUUGGACUCAACGCCGGACAUCUCACCAGCAUCGACUGUAGUNAACUUAAAGGAAUUGGCGGGGGAGCACUACAACCGGAGGAGCCUGCGGUUUAAUUGGACUCAACGCCGGACAUCUCACCAGCAUCGACUGUAAUAAUGACGACCAGGUUGAUGACCUUGUCCGAGUUUCAGAGAGGAGGUGCAUGGCCGCCGUCAGCUCGUACCGUGAGGCGUCCUGUUAAGUCAGGCAACGAGCGAGACCCGCACCCUUACUUGCNUCAGAGAGGAGGUGCAUGGCCGCCGUCAGCUCGUACCGUGAGGCGUCCUGUUAAGUCAGGCAACGAGCGAGACCCGCACCCUUACUUGCCAGCAGUACCGCGAGGUAGCUGGGGACAGUAGGAGGACCGCCGUGGCUAACACGGAGGAAGGAACGGGCAACGGUAGGUCAGUAUGCCCCGAAUGUGCUGGGCAACACGCGGGCUACAAUGGUCGAGACAAAGGGUUCCUACUCCGAAAGGAGACGGUAAUCUCAGAAACUCGAUCGUAGUUCGGAUUGUGGGCUGCAACUCGCCCACAUGAAGCUGGAUUCGGUAGUAAUCGCGUGUCACAAGCGCGCGGUGAAUACGUCCCUGCUCCUUGCACACACCGCCCGUCAAAGCACCCGAGUGAGGUCCGGAUGAGGCGUUCCACGAACGUCGAAUCUGGGCUUCGCAAGGGGGCUUAAGUCGUAACAAGGUAGCCGUAGGGGAAUCUGCGGCUG
rnacentral:rRNA from 1 species